GCUGUUACUAUAUCUGGGUAGAUGGCUUUCUCUUAUAUGCCUUGAUGUGUUGUUCGAUUACACCACAUUCCUCAUGGAGGCUGCUUGGACCUUUUUUUCCCCCUUAUUAGAGAGGAAAGAUUCAUAACUUUCUUGUCAAUAAAGGGUAGACAAUAAUUAGUUUACGUGAAAAUGGCUUGCGCAGUCUUGAUCCUUGGAGGAUGCAAAGAUCAGCCUUGUCAUUGAGAUAAAAAGUUUUUCUAGAGGAGUAUGCUCCUUUUAGAAUAUCUUGAAGACAGACUCUUGGGUUCAAGCUGGUCCUAGCUAUUUCGAGUUGCAAGCAAGGUAGUCUGACCUGAUUGGGGCUUGAUUGGGAUCCGGCGUUGAGCCAACCAAGAUUGAACCGCAUUUGACUCCUGUGGGGUGCACACGUGGCGCCAGAGGUCAGCCUUACUCCGAUUUGGGAGAGCCCCGAUCCUACCUUGAACAUGUCAAAAAUAAGAAGAAGUGGGUCGAUAAUGAGUAGCAGGAGAAGGAGAUUUAUGAGUGUUGGGAACAGAGCUGGUCAUUAAUGCAAUCAAUCUGCCUACGUGGAGAAGCAGAAGAAGAAGGAGAAGAAGAAGGAGAAGGGGAUCUCCUUUGGGUAUUAAUCUCUCUGGGUUCCAUUUGAAGAAGGGAAAGCGUUGCAGCAGCUGCUGUUGGUUCAGCUUGUUACCAUCAUUACAGCGGUUCGCUGAGGGGAUCUGAGCUGAAGUGGACUAGGGCUCGAUGCUGUUCUAUGAAUUAACCUAUAAAUGGAAAGUUCUUCCUUCUGAAUUAUGCUAUUUGCCUCGGUUGAAGCUGGAGCACGGGUACGGUGAUUCUCUGCGCAGGUCUGCAGGUACUUCUUAGAUGCAGUGGAGAAGAAGCAGUACGGGUGGUUCUGGGUGUGCCCUAAUGGCGGCAAGGAGUGCCACUACAGGCACGCCCUCCCCCCUGGUUACGUGCUCAAAUCCCAGAUGAAGGCCUUGCUGGAGGAAGAGUCCGAGAAGAUAUCCAUCGAGGAGGAGAUCGAGAGCCAGGUGAUCUCCGCCGCUUCACAUCCGCCGUGCUUCCUCUGGGAAGCCCGUUGACUUAGCUCCGUGGUCAAGAUAUUGACUGGGCAUCUGUUCUCUCCCCAAGCGAGCAAAAGUCGCCACGUCCACGCCCAUGACCCCGGAGCUGUUCAUGCAAUGGAAGAAGAAGAAGAUAGAAGAGAGAGAAGCCGGGCUCGCGGCGAUGCGCGCAGAGAGGGC
rnacentral:lncRNA from 1 species